AUUGCUUCUCGGCCUUUUGGCUAAGAUCAAGUGUAGUAUCUGAGGCAGUGGCAAGGUCACUCACC
rnacentral:snRNA from 1 species